GCCCGCCGCCGCCCCUGCCCCGCCGCCGCCGCCUCGGGACCGGCUGUAUGGUUAGGCCACAUUCUUCAAUGAGUAGACAUGUUCCUCAGUUCUGUGGUGUUCUCGGUCACACAUUUACGGAGUUUCUGAAGGGCAGUGGAGAUUACUGCCAGGCACAGCACGACCUCUAUGCAGACAAGUGAACUGCAGAAAUUCAUUACUGCUCAACCAAGAAGCCCCCAUAAGACUGGUUAACCUGAACACAGAGGUGUUGAAUUGAAAUCUACAGAGCAUUUUUAUACAAGAAUUCUGAUCUGGAUGGGGUAAACCUCAGUGCACUUCCUUUCUAUUGCCUCAGUAUUACUCGAUUGAAGAACUGCUGCUUCUUGUUAAGAGGUUCAUUCAUUCAUUAUUCCCAACUUCAUACUUAAAAGCACUGAGAAUUUCAAGUGGAGUAUAUUAAAGUUGACUGUGUUUCUUUGCAUCAUUUCUGUAUUCAAUUUUUUAAAUUCUUUCAUAUCCCUAUUGAGUGUUUUUUAAGUAAAUUAACUUGGCUCGAAUGAACCGCCCAGCUCCUGUGGAAGCUACAUACAGGAACAUGAGAUUUCUUAUUACACACAACCCAACUAAUGCAACAUUAAGCAAAGUUAUAGAGGAACUUAAGAAGUAUGGAGUUACCACAAUUGUAAGAGUAUGUGAAGCAACUUACGACACUACUCUUCUGGAGAAAGAAGGCAUCCAUGUUCUCGAUUGGCCUUUUGAUGAUGGCGCACCACCAUCUAACCAGAUUGUUGAUGAUCGGUUAAGUCUUGUGAAAAUUAAGUUUCGUGAAGACCCUGGUUGUUGUAUUGCUGUUCAUUGUGUUGCAAUCCUUGGCAGAGCUCCAGUGCUUGUUGCCCUAGCAUUAAUUGAAGGUGGAAUGAAAUACGAAGAUGCAGUACAGUUCAUAAGACAAAAGCGGCGAGGAGCUUUUAACAGCAAGCAACUUUUGUAUUUGGAGAAGUAUCGUCCUAAAAUGCGGCUGCGCUUCAAAGACUCCAAUGGGCAUAGAAACAACUGUUGCAUUCAGUAAAACCAGGGUGCAUGAUGCCAUUGAUUGGAAGUGGAACCUGAGAUGGAAUGGAAUUUGUCGUACAUAGCAGAUAGCCCGGUUGACUUGAUGAAUAAGUCUGACGAAGCUUCCAUAGGAGUGUUGAAGAGCAGUUUCACCAGGCCAUAGGCCUGGCAGAAUUGUAGUGUCUGUUCAGGUUAUGAUCAGCCUAUUUGGAUGCUAGUAAAGAAUUCUUGCUGUUCAGCAUUUAAUAUGUGCUUAUAAUUUAUACCAGUUGACCUUUCCUGAAAUCAUGCAGUAUUGAGUCAUGUCAUUAAAUCUGUUUCCAUGCCAGAAUCUUACCAAUAUAUAAGAAAUUUAGAAAGACUAGGUGCCAAAAUACCCAGCACAAUACUUGUAUAUUUUUAGUAUCAUAUAGAACAAAUCCCAGGAACUAUGAACACUCUGGACCUUAUGUGGUUUAUUCCUUGCAUCAUUUCAAACAUAGAAAAUAGGGCCUAUGAGGUUUGUUUGCUCACAAUAUGUUUACAUCUCCCACAUUCAUACCAGUAUACAUCAGAUUUACUCCCUUUUUAUUAACCAAGUCUUACAGUGAUUAUUUAAUAUCUUUCUAUAAAUCUCAUUUUAUGUUGUAGAAGGCCUCCAUUUUGAAAAUCUACAUUGUACAGAAGCACAUGUCUUUAAUGUCUCCAGACAAAAGCCUUACAGUUCAUUUUAAUGUUUGCACUUUGGGGUGCAACUUACAGGGAGGGCCUGAAAAAAGAAUGGGAGGGGGCUAUUAAGUAUUUUUAGUAAAAUGUUGCCUUUGUCUUGUGCAGAACAUGUAGAAUAUGUGCUUUAAUUUAGUAAAUAUUUUUUUUAAGGUAGAAAUACUUUGUUACCGUAACUAAAACAAUUCUUAAAUCAAAAUUUCUGAAAUUCUUGUAAUUUUUUUCAUACUUACCUGAAGUUGUUUACCGACUUAGUUUUGUUUGAAGUGUGAUUCCCAGCCUCUCUUGCAAAAAAAAAAAAAAA